GACUAACGCUGGCGGCGUGCCUAAUACAUGCAAGUCGAGCGAAGCGGCGGAUGGGUGUGUAACGCGUGGGUAACCUGCCCUUAAGUCUGGGAUACCAUUUGGAAACAGAUGCUAAUACCGGAUAUUAAAGGAUGGACUUGCGAUGCAUUAGCUAGUUGGUAUGGUAACGGCUUACCAAGGCGAUGAUGCAUAGCCGAGGUGAGAGACUGAUCGGCCACAUUGGGACUGAGACACGGCCCAAACGCCUACGGGCGGCAGCAGUAGGGAAUCUUCCGCAAGAGACGAAAGUCUGAUGGAGCAACGCCGCUGUAGUGAAGAAGGUUUUCGGAUCGUAAAGCUCUGUUGUUGGUGAAGCGGUAAUCAACCAGAAAAUCACGGCUAACUACGUGCCAGCGGCCGCGGUAAUAC
rnacentral:rRNA from 1 species